GUGUGUUCCAGGUAAAUCCGGUUCACUUUAACACUGAGGCGUGAUGACGAGGCACUACGGUGCUGAAGCAACAAAUGCCCUGCUUCCAGGAAAAGCCUCUAAGCAUCAGGUAACAUCAAAUCGUACCCCAAACCGACACAGGUGGUCAGGUAGAGAAUACCAAGGCGCUUGAGAGAACUCGGGUGAAGGAACUAGGCAAAAUGGUGCCGUAACUUCGGGAGAAGGCACGCUGACACGUAGGUGAAGUGAUUUACUCAUGGAGCUGAAGUCAGUCGAAGAUACCAGCUGGCUGCAACUGUUUAUUAAAAACACAGCACUGUGCAAACACGAAAGUGGACGUAUACGGUGUGACGCCUGCCCGGUGCCGGAAGGUUAAUUGAUGGGGUCAGCGCAAGCGAAGCUCCUGAUCGAAGCCCCGGUAAACGGCGGCCGUAACUAUAACGGUCCUAAGGUAGCGAAAUUCCUUGUCGGGUAAGUUCCGACCUGCACGAAUGGCGUAAUGAUGGCCAGGCUGUCUCCACCCGAGACUCAGUGAAAUUGAACUCGCUGUGAAGAUGCAGUGUACCCGCGGCAAGACGGAAAGACCCCGUGAACCUUUACUAUAGCUUGACACUGAACAUUGAGCCUUGAUGUGUAGGAUAGGUGGGAGGCUUUGAAGUGUGGACGCCAGUCUGCAUGGAGCCGGCCUUGAAAUACCACCCUUUAAUGUUUGAUGUUCUAACGUGGACCCGUGAUCCGGGUUGCGGACAGUGUCUGGUGGGUAGUUUGACUGGGGCGGUCUCCUCCUAAAGAGUAACGGAGGAGCACGAAGGUUGGCUAAUCCUGGUCGGACAUCAGGAGGUUAGUGCAAUGGCAUAAGCCAGCUUGACUGCGAGCGUGACGGCGCGAGCAGGUGCGAAAGCAGGUCAUAGUGAUCCGGUGGUUCUGAAUGGAAGGGCCAUCGCUCAACGGAUAAAAGGUACUCCGGGGAUAACAGGCUGAUACCGCCCAAGAGUUCAUAUCGACGGCGGUGUUUGGCACCUCGAUGUCGGCUCAUCACAUCCUGGGGCUGAAGUAGGUCCCAAGGGUAUGGCUGUUCGCCAUUUAAAGUGGUACGCGAGCUGGGUUUAGAACGUCGUGAGACAGUUCGGUCCCUAUCUGCCGUGGGCGCUGGAGAACUGAGGGGGGCUGCUCCUAGUACGAGAGGACCGGAGUGGACGCAUCACUGGUGUUCGGGUUGUCAUGCCAAUGGCACUGCCCGGUAGCUAAAUGCGGAAGAGAUAAGUGCUGAAAGCAUCUAAGCACGAAACUUGCCCCGAGAUGAGUUCUCCCUGAGACUUAGAGUCUCCUGAAGGAACGUUGAAGACGACGACGUUGAUAGGCCGGGUGUGUAAGCGCAGCGAUGCGUUGAGCUAACCGGUACUAAUGAACCGUGAGGCUUAACCUUACA
rnacentral:rRNA from 1 species